UCGCGGCUUAUCACCGGCAGUCUCCUUAGAGUGCUCAACUAAAUGGUAGCAACUAAGGACGGGGGUUGCGCUCGUUGCGGGACUUAACCCAACAUCUCACGACACGAGCUGACGACAGCCAUGCAGCACCUGUGCAUACUGGUAUUGCUACCUCGUCAGGCUUUCACCCUUCUACUAUAUGCAUGUCAAGGCCAGGUAAGGUUCUUCGCGUUGCAUCGAAUUAAGCCACAUACUCCACCGCAUGUGCAGGCCCCCGUCAAUUCCUUCGAGUUUCAGCCUUGCGACUGUACUCCCCAGGCGGCAUAUUUAACGCGUUAGCUCCGGCACAGAUCAACUGAAUGACCUACACCAAAUAUGCAUCGUUUAGGGCGUGGACUAC
rnacentral:misc_RNA from 1 species